rnacentral:tRNA from 1 species
CGCUGGGUGGUGCAAUGGUAAGCACACCGGUCCGGCCCACUCCCACCACAUUCCUAAGUGGCGAGUGGGUUUCAAGUCCUCCUAAUUUCCUAAAGGACACUUCCUAAUAGGACCGGAGAUGGGGGUUCGAAUCCCUCCCUAGCGA